GGGUCAGUAGGUUGGUCGUGCCACCGGUACGCACUGGUCUCACUGAUUCCUCCUUCCUGAAGAACCGUAAUGCCAUUAAUUUGGUGUUGCGGGGGAAACAGGACUGUUACUUUGAAAAAAUUAGAGUGUUUAAAGCAAGCUAACGCUUGAAUACAUUAGCAUGGAAUAAUGAAAUAGGACGAUCGAUCCUAUUUUGUUGGUCUCUAGGAUUGACGUA
rnacentral:rRNA from 1 species